UACGAAGGGGGCUAGCGUUGCUCGGAAUCACUGGGCGUAAAGCGCACGUAGGCGGUCCGGUAAGUCCGCUGUGAAAGUCGGGGGCUCAACCCUCGAAUGCCGGUGGAUACUGUCGGGCUAGAGUGCGGAAGAGGCGAGUGGAAUUCCUGGUGUAGCGGUGAAAUGCGCAGAUAUCAGGAGGAACACCGAUGGCGAAGGCAGUUCUCUGGGCCGUAACUGACGCUGAGGAGCGAAAGCGUGGGGAGCGAACAGG
rnacentral:rRNA from 1 species